rnacentral:rRNA from 1 species
GACGAACGCUGGCGGCGUGCUUAACACAUGCAAGUCGAGCGGUAAGGCUCCCUUUGGGGGGUACACGAGCGGCGAACGGGUGAGUAACACGUGAGUAAUCUGCCCUUCACUCUGGGAUAAGCACCGGAAACGGUGUCUAAUACCGGAUACGACCAACUGCUGCAUGGUGUGUUGGUGGAAAGUUUUUUCGGUGGGGGAUGUGCUCGCGGCCUAUCAGCUUGAUGGUGGGGUAAUGGCCUACCAUGGCGUCGACGGGUAGCCGGCCUGAGAGGGUGACCGGUCACACUGGGACUGAGACACGGCCCAGACUCCUACGGGAGGCAGCAGUGGGGAAUAUUGGACAAUGGGCGGAAGCCUGAUCCAGCAACGCCGCGUGAGGGAUGACGGCCUUCGGGUUGUAAACCUCUUUCAUCACCGACGAAGCCUUUGGGUGACGGUAGGUGGAGAAGAAGCACCGGCCAACUACGUGCCAGCAGCCGCCGUAACAC